rnacentral:tRNA from 1 species
GCGCCUGUAGCUCAACAGGAUAGAGCAACGGCCUUCUAAGCCGUAGGUUUCGAGUUCGAGUCUCGGCAGGCGUA